UAGCGGUGGAGUAAUCAAACGUUGCUGGAGCUUAAUGGUAGGAAUUGGCGUUCAGCGGCUGCGUCUCAGCCUGAUCGGUCGGUCGCUUCCUCUUGAAAAAGCCACACUGGAAAUACACAAAUCAUGGCUCCGAGGGUCCCCGGUUCACCAGAGAUUCAGAGAAGAUGUGAGACGUUACAAUGAAGGAGGAGGCCAAUCGGCUCGAAGGAAGUAAAGAUAUUGAAAACCGUUCACCCGUAAGAAUUUCGUUACCAAAGGAAACCAUCGUCAGCUCUGGGAUGCCGCUCCAGUUCCCCUGGAUUCCUCUGCUGAUUCUUCAUCCUCCUCUUCUUCUU